GAUGAAGAACGUAGCGAAAUGCGAUAAGUAAUGUGAAUUGCAGAAUUCAGUGAAUCAUCGAAUCUUUGAACGCACAUUGCGCCCGCCAGUAUUCUGGCGGGCAUGCCUGUCCGAGCGUCAUUUCAACCCUCAAGCCCCCGGGCUUGGUGUUGGAGAUCGGCGAGCCCCCCGGGGCGCGCCGUCUCCCAAAUAUAGUGGCGGUCCCGCUGUAGCUUCCUCUGCGUAGUAGCACACCUCGCACUGGGAAACAGCGUGGCCACGCCGUAAAACCCCCCACUUCUGAAAGGUUGACCUCGGAUCAGGUAGGAAUACCCGCUGAACUUAAGCAUAUCAAUAAGCGGGGA
rnacentral:misc_RNA from 1 species